rnacentral:lncRNA from 1 species
ACAGGUGUUAAACCCUCUAUGAUGUGGCUGACACAUGUCAAUAUUUGUUGAUGUGUACAAAAAUUCAUUAACACAAAUAAUUAAAAAAUCCAAUUUUUAUUAAUUGUUUAUUUAUUUUUUUAAAAACAAAAUAAAUAUUUAUAUUUAAUAAACAAAAUAAAUAUUCAGAUCUAUCUUCCUUCCUCACUAGUACUCAUACGCUUUCAUCUCUCUCCUUAUCUAUCUGUCUUCUGUCGGUGUUCAGAGCGCCUUUAUCCUUUUGCCAGUUAGAGUUUGUUCAGAUCCAGAAACUCCACUGAUAAACAUAGAGAUAUAUUUCAUACACAAUAAUAAGAAUAAUAUUCUAGUUUUUCUUUUCUAAAUUUGGAACUAAGAUGCAAUAGCUUGAUGAGAGCCGAGUAAUGUUGUUGAUAUUUCUGUGAUUAUUGCUGGUGGGGCGAAAAAGGCAUACGCCGUCGUUUCAGUGAACAAAGAACAGAAGAAGUGUAUGAGUGAUUUUGGGUCUUCUUCUUCCUUUCCUUUGUUCUUCGUUCUUCUAUCAUCUCUCUUUAUUUGGAUAUUAGCUCGAAAAUAAAUCUUAAAAACAUCCAGAUCUGAUUUUGAUCCCUUCAUUAUUUGGAUGUUAGUUCGAAAAUAAAUGUUAAAAAUAUCCAGAUCUGAUUUUGAAGGUGUAAAUUUGUUUUUCAAAAAUAAAAAUUUUCUGAAUCUAGAUUUAGAUUUCUGGUGUACUCAAGAUUUUUUGAUUUGAGAAUACUGGUUGUGCUUCGAGCCUUCGAUGGUUAGGGAUGCUAUGCCGCAGCCGGUUGGACCGUUUGUAAGUUUGAAGCCGUUAAUAGCAACCCGGGCUACGGUCAGAAAGAUGUUGAGGGUUGGAUUCCAUUAGAAAGAAACAUUUCUCUCUCCCUCUCACCCUCCUGAGUUUUGCCUGAAUAACAAACUCUGCUCAAGAAAGCUUAAAAUGUCUCUAGCUCGUAUGUAUUUAAUUGUAAAAUUAUGUAAUUGGGUAAACCCCUCCUUUCUAUACCACUUAAUUCGAUGGCGUGUUUGAGAUAGAUAGAUAGAUACAAGCAUUGAAGAUAGGCUAGGCUGAUGGAGAUGUAAAUUUUCUGUAUCCAUGAUGUAUGUAUGUAUGAGAGAUUUUGUUAGUAAUUACUGUUUUUAGUUGAAAUAUAACUAUUCAAUUGUCUACAACAACGAAUUCAUCAAAACCUGUAUUAAUUUUUGUAUUAAUUAAUUUAAGAUUAUUUGUAUUAAUUAAUUCAAGA